rnacentral:lncRNA from 1 species
UCUUGUUUUGGACGGCAGCGAGGUAUAGUCCAAGUAUUUUAAGUUCCGUUUUAGACUCAUUUUGAUAAAUAUAAAUUAGUUAUACUAUCGACCUCAUCAAAAAUAUUAAUAUUGUAAGGAAUCGUGUUGAUUAAAUGCAAAUCAAUAAUAGAAUAAAAAAAAUAUAAACUUUUAUUAAACGAAUAAAAAAUUCACUAAAAACGAAAAAAAUCAAGAAUUAAAAUAAUUAAAAAUCUCAACAAAAUAAAAAAGCUAGGCCAAAUUAAUGCCCCCUCUAGCGCCUUUUUUUUUUAAUAAAAAAAUCUUGAUUUUUUUUUAGUGUGUUUGGCUUAGGUUUUUUAGUUGGCCAGAUAGAGUUUUUUGAGAAAAAACUUAGAAAUAGUUCACCAAAAAUACUAAAUAUUUUUUAUUUACCUCAAACAACACAACAACAAGUGAUUUUCUUAUCUCAUAUUCACCUUAUAAUCUUAAAAAAAAACUAGUUUCUUUAGCUAUUCCAAACAAGACAUAAGCCUAAUUACACGUGUUGGAGUUUAUGUUUGUUUGGAGCUCCAUUUUCUUAAAAAUUUACAUCGGUAAGAAUAGACUCGGUCUCUCCACCUAAUAAAAAUCUUCCUUACCUUAAUUUCGGUCCAUAAAAGACCAAAGUCGUGUGACACUCAAACAAUUUUCUAGUCUUAUCCAAGUCCAAAAUAGUUGUUGUUAUCUUCCAUCAGCUUCCUCCCAUCUUCCUUUCGUUUUCUUCAUUACUAGAAAUAUAUAUAAUUGUCUUAAGCUCCUUCUGGAUAUGUGUGAAUCCCAAAUAAAUGAAUUUAGAAUUGAACAAAUUGGCAUAACCAUUUGCACGGGAUAGUUUUAAAAAAAAUACAAGUUUUAUGGACGCUGCGGAACCCAUCCCAAACUCCAUCAUUCCAUACUCCUAUUGUGGGCCAAUUCACGAGUCCACAUUGAUGAUUUGAACCAUUUAUUUUGUAAGCCCCGUAAUGAAUGGCAUUCAUGCAAAAACAAAUUGGUUCGUUUGGACAUCUAGAAACAUAUGAUCAAAUCACAUUUUGUAAUCAUAUCAGACAGACAUUCACUUUAAAAAAUAAAAUGCGAUUUGUUCUUAUAUUUAACAUCUGUUUCACUUAGCUGAGUAUAUUUUACAAUGAAUGAUCUUCACAGCAAAACUUACAAGACGAACUAUUUAUAUUAUCGGUGUGGACUCGAGAGUGAGGCUUACAAGAGAGAUAUAGAGGGAUGGAAUCUAAGGUCCUGUUGAUUCCGUCUAGAACUAUUUUUGUAAGAUAUGCGUGUAAUCGCACUUUUAUUUAGAUAUCACUUGAUAUAACAUGUUAUACAUUGUAAUUACAUACGUUACGUGUGACUCAUAAAUUAAUGUGAUUAGUGAAAUAUGUAAUGCCACAUAAAUAAUAUUUAAAUGAAUGCAUAAAUGUGAGCAUUCCUAGUUAGUGGAGUAACUCCUUUUAUAGGUAUAUCCUACAUGAAGGCCAAAACCAAGGAAAAAGGAAAAUGACACGUUUACAUACUUUUUAGUACAAUAUUUGUACAAUAAAUACAUAACGACGUUGUUUUACCCGAAUAAAUGUAAAACGAAAUCAUUCCAUUUAAAGGAGAAACGCGGAAGAAUAAGUAAAUGACGUCAUUUUGCAUUUAUUGUACAAAAAUUAUAUAAAAAAAUGUGUAAACUUAGCAUCUUCCAAAAGGAGUAGAGACGCCAACACCGACUAUUAAACAUAUGCAUUCAAAAGUCAGCAAAGUAUGGCAAAGAAAUUUACUCUUAACGCCCACCUAUAGGGAACCCAAUUUAUGGUUGACUUAAAAGCUUGCCCCAGGAGUGACGAUUGCUGUGAGUGGGAGAUUUGGAUAUUCAAGGUCGGUUAGGAUUAAGUGUUUUUGAUUUUUUUAACUGUUUUUGUUAUCAAAAAUUUUUGAUUUUAGUAAAAAAAAUUACCAUUUAAUCUAAAUUUUAUAGUUUUUCAAUUCCUCCUAACAAAGAAUUUUUAAAAUGUAAGAAUUUUCAUAUAAUUUUAAAAAAAUACUAAAAACAAAAAAUAAUAAUUUUAUAAUAUAUAAAAAUAGUUCAUUUUCAUUUUUAGUGGAUUUUUUUUAAUUAAAUAAAUUUUUUAUAUUUUUAGAUUUUUCUCUUCAAAAGAAAUCGAAAAAAUAUAAAAUUUAGAUCGAAUGGUACUUUACUUGAACGGCUGAACUCCAAUCCGCAAUCAAACAUCGGUUAUGCCAACCACCCCGGAGUAGUAAAUGUACUUUUUUUACGUAUGUUUAUAUAGUUUUCACUUGUCUUUAUACAUUUACACGUAUGCAUAUAUUUAUAAUUUUUUUAUAUUUAACAAUAGUUAGAGGUGAUAAACAAAUUAAACUUUUCAAUUUGACUUGCAUUCGGCUCUCGUUAAAAACUUAUUUGAGUUUGGUUUGUUCCAUAAACAAACUAAACUCAAACAUAUUUUUUAAACAUGUUAAGAUUUCAAGUUAAAUUUGAAUAAUCUACUAUUUAACUCAAUUAACUUAUAAUAUUUAAAAAAUUCAAGCUGCUUGAUUUCACUCUAAAGCAGUUUAAUUAAAAUUCGUUCGAGAUCGAUUUAAGUUUAAUUUAUUAAAUUUUCAAACUAAACUUAAAUAAUUUAUACUUGCUUGAUACGUUUAUCACUCAUGUGGUUAACAUUUUCCAUCAACCAUAUUACCAAUUACGUCAAAGGUCAAACGUUAAUUUUGCAUUAAAUAACAAACAAAAUCAAUGCCAUGGAUUUUACUCAAAAUCACAUUUAUAUAAACAAACCCCUCCUUAACCAUCCCUCUGUCGCACUUCACCUGAAUCUCUCUCUCUCUCUCUUGCAUGCAACCAUCCCAAUGGGCCUGUGUUUCUCGCGCAAGGCGGUGAAGACCAAGACCUCGAACCGCAUAUCUCACCACUCGGCGGUCACCGGCGGUGGUUCGAGCAAUCGGUGGACUCGAAUUCGAUCGACGAAGAAGGACAAGUUAGAGGACUCGGUGAUCCACGAGCGAGCCCUCGCGGCGGCGAUCCUGUUCCAGCAGCACUUGCAGAACGGCGGCGAUGUACAGUUCGAUCGGUCGACGUCGCUGAGGUGCCCGCCAUCAAACGGCAGGAAACAGGCAGCGUUGCCUCGGAGUUCGAGUUCUAGGGCAAGGUCCCUCACCGAUCCUCUCCUUCAGCCUCAACAGCUUCUUAAUCAGGUUUUGAAUUUUAUGCCUUUGAACUCGUAAUUGUUGAACAGAGUUUUCUUCUUUUUUUUUUUUAGAUGGCAUUUUUCUUCUUUUUUCUUUCUUUAUUUUGGAUUUGAUUUGUUUGCUGGUAAACAAGUCAAAUGAGUCAAGUUUAGCUUAAAAUUUUAAUGAGUUUUAAAUUUAUGUUCAAACUUAAUUUUUUGAUUGGAUCUCGAACAACUUAAUCGAGUCAAUUACAAGUUGAGCUCGAAUAUCUUAAAUUUUUUAAAAAUUAUAAAUUUACAGAGCCGAGUAAUAGAAGACUUAAAAUCUUAACAAGUUUAAAAGAACAUGUUUGAGCUUGUUUUGUUUAACAAACCAAAACUCAAACAAGUUUUUAACUAGUUGAACAAGAUCCAAGCUCGAGAUUGCACCCAUUUUUCUUUUUAUUUGGAUGAAUUUAUUUAAAUGUCCUUUUAUAUACAGUAAAAAUAUUUGAAUAAAGUUUUACUUUGGUCCUGCAAUUCUAAUUCAAAAAAUGACAACUUGCAUGGAUUUUUUUGUCUUAUUUUUGCAUUUUACAUCAAAAUUUUUAAAUGACGUGGAUGAAGGUACUGCAUUGAAAUUGAAAACAUAAGGGCUCUAGUUGUUUAAACUAAAAUUAUGGAGACCAAAGUGCACCUUUCCCUAAACUUGAGGGCCAAUGAUAAAAUUUACCCUUCUUUUUACUAUUGUACAAACUUACAUAAAUACUCAAAUCUUUGAAUUUCUGAUAUACUUUCGAAACAAAAGGUAACAAUUAUUUUGCAACAGAGUAAGGAAUUUGACAUCAGGUGUUAAAAUGUUUCUGAUUGAUUUUUCUGGCCUUGAAUUGAUACUUGUUCAACAGUGUCGCUUUUUUUUCUUUUUUUCUUUUUUUUUGCUGAUUUUUUGGCUUUUUCUAUUUGCACUUUGAACCAAUUCCGUCACGUUUUAAGAACUCUGUUUAUUUUGUAAUUACUUGUUCGAACAUUUGCGUAAAUUUUGGAGAACGUUGGAAAAAAUUGAAAUGCAAAAAUUUCGAAUCUAAAAGAUGAGUUGGUGACAAUCAUCAGUUUGAAUGAUUCUAUGGACCAAAAGUAAAGUAAAUUGAAACUUCAGCCUAAUAUCGUCAUCAUCUUCUUUGAAGGAUGUUUGUUAAUUUCGCUGAACCUUCCAACUUUCAAUUGCAAAAUACCCAAUUUGAUUUUAGACUUUUGAAUUAACUGCAAGUUUUACUAUUUUCUCUUUUUUUAAUGGGUUUGAAUUGACUGUAAGUUGGUAGCUUUAAAAACUUUCUUAGAAUGUAAAAUAAGCGGUUGGUGAUAAGCUAAGAAGCAUACACGACACAAUAUAGAUACGUGAACACAUAAUUUUUUUAAAAAUUAGGAUACGGACACGUUGGGACACUCUAAAUAAAAUAUAUUGAAUCUAUAUUUUUCUAUAAUAAAUAAAAUAAAUUAAAAAUAUGAUUAUACAAAAAAAGAUAUAGCAGCUCAAUUUUGGUGUAAGUUCAAUUCAUCUUGUAAAGCGCAUUAGACUAAUGAAUAUUAUAAGAGGAUAAAAUAUCUUACUUCACUCUUGGCCGAGUUUGAACGAGCACCACUGACGGACUGUCACUUCAUAGCAAGUUUAGUUGGCAUUUUAACACGAUAACUUGGUCGGUAAGCUUAUUUUGGUAGAGUUUUUUCAUGCCAAACCUUUAGGUUAGAGGGUCAACACACAAAUUCCCCGUGGAACGCGCACCUGAGGCUUAAACCCCAGAUGAUGCAAUGAGCUAGCUACCAACCACGUCCUAGGGGCAUGAUUGGGUCAACCGUCUACUCACUGACUGGACGGUUAUUGCGUCUUCACAUGCGCCGAGAUGCUCUAAUAAAAGGGGACAGACCCACUCUCACAAAUAAGCAAUACUGAUUCUCUCUCUAUAGUAAGUCUCUCGUAGCUCGUUAUCCUUCUCUCUGAUUGUUGCACAUUUGAUCUUAGAAGCACAUACGAACAUUAACAUGGGCACAGACAUGCAUGUUCGGAGAAAGAUCACGCAUGUCCGGAGGAAAGACACGCGCGUCUGUGAAGUGUCCCCAAAGUGUCUGAUGAUACAAAAAAAAUAAUAAAAAUGGACAUGCCAAGUGGAGUGUUUGACACAUGUCUGGGAAGUGUCAAUGUUCGACACGUGUCUAGGAAGUGUCCAUGUCCGACACAUGUCGAACACGGAUAUGACGACUAAUUUGAAUAUCCCUGCUUCAUAGGUGAUAAGCUAUGAAGCACGGACGUACCUAAAUGGAUAUUGUAUCCGUGUUGGACAUGUAUUGGAUACACGUCCUACACCCCUAGAUACAUGUUGGGGCACUUCACAUGUCGUGUCCUAAUUUUUAUUAUUAUUAUUAAUUAUAUAUUUAGUGUUAAUUUUAAUUAGUUUUAGUUAUUUAUGGAUAAAGUAUUCAUUUAGAUUACAAAUAAAAAUAUAUAAUUUUUUGUUGUUGUUGUGUCCCAUCCAUAUAUGUGUCCUGAUUUCUAAAAAAUUGUCGUGUCCCAUGUCUACGUGCUUAGCCCUUAGGUGAUAGGUCAUCAUCAGAACCCCGAAUAUUAUCAAUCAAGUGCCUUUUUUGUUUUCCUCUUUUUUUUUGUAUAUGUAAUUAAUUAAUUUCCUUUUGAGAUUGCAUUUUGCUUGAGAAAUUGCCUUGCUGCAGAAUUGGACAGUUUUAUGGCUAAAACACAGCAACACAAUGAGUCUUGAGUGUUCCACAUUUUUCUCCAAAACUAAUUUUUAGCAAUCUACAUAUAGUUUGUAUUCCAUGAUACCGGUUCGCUAGACAGCAUGGUUUUGAAUUGCAGUAUCGGUAACAGUUUUAGUGUAGUGCUACGGUCACAUGGCCGAACACAUAUACCGAUUUUUAUUAAAAUAUCACUAUUGAAGGACCAAAAUCCUUAUAAGUAACAGAUCAGCUGAUAUUUAAAACUUGUAGACAGGUACCUUAGAUGAGAAGAUAUUCCAUGUUAAAUCCAUUUCAUUACCCAAGACUAUUCUUCAAACCACUGAAAAAUUGUACAAAAUAAGGCGCCAAUAAUAACAAUAUCGAUCUAAAAUAUCGAUCGAUCCAAUACUAAAUCAGAAACUAUAAAUAAAAUGUUUUAAGGCAACGAAAAAUCAAAGGACUUUAUGCCUUCAUUGCUCGAGUAUAUAACUGAAAGUUCGACAAAAGUUCUCUGAAUUGUAAUAUUUGUGUUUUUAGUUUAUCUUUUUUCUCUCUUACGCCGUGUUGGAUGAAGUUCUUAAAUUUGUACUAGUUUUCCACUUUGCAAAUUGCCUUAUUUAGAUUAGCUCUUUUGAUAACUUUUUACUUGCCUUUCAGCUUCUUUGAUAGCUUUUGGUUUGCCUUUUAGCUUUUAUUCCUCAACACCCAACAAAUUUGGACCCAGUUAUCUCCACUGGUAAUUAUUGAAUUCCCAAGUUGAGAGAGUUGAUGCAGUUGGGGGUCCACAAAAUUGGAAGUGUUUACUUGUAGGUCCUCCUACACAUGAUGAUAAGAAGACAUUUUUGAAUUUGGAUGAACUUUGGUAAUAGUUACAGAGACCAAGCAAAUACUUAGUUUAAGCUGUCCAAAAUCUGACUGUAAUCAUUAUGUUUCCUUGUCACCUUGCACUUUCUUCCAAUAGUUUGGCCAAGAUUCGAUUUGUUAUUACAAUAUUUCGCAGAUUCAUUCAUAGCAAGUUUUAUAGAGGUUAAUGGAUAGCAUUUUAGUAGGAGGGUAUUGAUGGCGAUUUAGGGUUUAGCUUGUCGGGUAAAGUUAUAUUUUUUCGCAUAGUAAGUGGAAUGUCAAUUUUAUGCAGCAGUUAUAUUUUUGAGCAUACUUAUACUUCACACGACCAUUCAGUGUUUGGGGUCAAAGAUAACGGUAACGGUAACAGUAACAGUAUUAGUGAUAAGGUCAUGUAUUGGCCAAUAUCGACUGAAAUUUACUAAAAUAUCGGUAUAGAAGAGCCAAAAUCCGGAGACACAACUGUUGAUACGUAACGUAUUGGCUAAUAUUUAAAAUCUUGACUCAAAGUGUGAUCAAUGAAACUUUAAUACAACUUACAAUGACUGUGAGAUGUUGUAGGGAGUAUCUAACUAAUUUUCUCUCGACAGGAUGUGAAGCUUGAUGAUCUAGAGACCAAUCAUUUUGUCCUUGUUCAUGGAGGUGGUUUUGGUGCAUGGUGUUGGUAUAAAACUAUAUCCCUUUUAGAAGAAGGUGGAUACAGAGUUACAGCCAUAGAUUUAACUGGCUCCGGAAUUCAUUCAUUCGAUUCAAACAGCAUCACAAGUCUUUCUCAAUACGUGGAGCCACUCACUGGUUUUCUCGAAAAACUAGCCGACACAGAGAAGGUACGUGUCUAUGUCUAACAUGUUUCUUUACCAUGUCUUCGUUUAUCGUACUGCACCAGUUUGAAUAAUAAGAGGCUUUAUAAUGGCAGUUACCGUGAGUUUUUCACAAUGGUUUGCUGCUUUAGUUCAUGUAGACUUAGUGAAGUCGGAUGUAUGACUGUAACACCGAAGACUUCUCUUUGUUACAUUGAUAGGUGCUCAUAAGCUAAUUUCUAGCAAAUUCUUCUGCCAUUUUGUCAUUCUGCGGUUAAAUGUGUUGGAAAAAUAAUUGGAGAUGUAUGUUUAUCAUUUGUGAAUCAACACCGUAUUUUGAAUUGAAAAUCAGAAUCAAAAACCAAAAUAGAAAAACUGUAAGUAAACACCUACAGACCUAAUAAACUGCAAAAUUUAAAAGAACAGAUAUAUAAAUUUGUGGCCUGUGUUUGACACAGUUUUUUUAAGACAGAUUUACACCCUCACUAUGGUGUUCACCAUCACUAGACGUCCGCCUUCCAUGAUAGAACCAUCUUUUCGCCAAGACAAAAGGCAGCACUACAAUUUAUUUGUAUGGUGAACCACACAGUGGAGGAACUCUCUUAUUUAUUAUCUGACCUAGACACGAAUUCGAACUCUUUGAAAACUAAUUGAAUUGUGAUAAACUCAAGGAAGACUGGAGUAUAUAUAGAAGAUACAGUGACACCAAUAAAAAGUCACAACUCUUCACGACGAAGACGUGUCAUGGAAAGACACAACCAUUCACUAAAGGGUUGCUUUUAAAAGCAAUUUUAAUUCACAAUAAAAAAUAAUUUUGAUAAUUCAUUUUUUCCCAGCGAAAUGUACGUAAAGGUCCUUGAGGUACUCCUGCAAGUAACCUCUAUUACACUAUAAACUUUCAGAGUCUAUCUCGGGCUGGAGGUUUCUUCAAAGUUCUUUGACAUCUGUAGCAAUGUUCAGAACUAAUCUUAAUUUCCAUUACCUGUUGUUUGCCCCCGAAGAUCAAAGAGUAAUUAGGGGGAAGGGGAUUGGUUUGGGAACAGAGGUAGUGUUUGGUAUUAUUCGGACAGCAUGGCUGCUCUAUUACUCAAAUGUGAGUUCUCACCGAUGGCAGCCCGAGUUUUUGAGGACUUGUUCUUGCUUGUUAUAUAUUUCCUUGAAAUGUUACUUCAAGUUCUUACAAGAGAUUUUGGUUUUAGUCUUCGUGGAGCUGGAUUCUCACUUUGAGACUUCUAAUUAUUUCAUUUUUUUGUUCAUUCUUGAUUAUGCAGGUGAUUUUGGUAGGACAUGAUUUCGGCGGUACAUGUAUAUCAUCUGCAAUGGAGUUGUUUCCCCACAAAGUUUCCAAAGCUGUUUUCGUUGCUGCAACUAUGUUGACUAGUGAACAAAGUACCCUCGAUAUGUUGUCCCAAAAGGUUUGCACGUCUCUCUUAAGUCAUUUAACUCAAACAAAAUCUUCAUUUGCAUGUAAUGGGAGACACUCUAAAGAUAUGUGAAGUGUUGAUUGCUAAAAGAGUUGGUUAUUUUGAUAUGUUAUAGUGUUCUAUAAUCGUUGCAGGCAGAUUCGGAUGAUCUGAUGCGACAGGCUCAGAUAUUUCGAUAUGCAAAUGGGAACACACACCCUCCAACUGCAAUCGAGCUUGACAAGUCACUAUUAAGGGACUUGUUAUUCAACCAGAGUCCUGCCAAGGUAUACAUUAACUUGCUGAAAUUUUUUUUUUUGCUAGUUGAUAUAUAUAUUGUCCUGUCAUAUGUAGUCAUAUUUUGUUCUUAGAUUGGAAAAGAUAAGAUUGCUGGAAAAAAAAAGUAUUCCUCUGGCUUUAAAUGCCAAGAAGAACACAUUUUUUGUCAUGUGGACACUGGACAGGCACGCACGUAUCGCAAGUGUAUGCAAUUGGUUUUCUAUAACAAUACUGCUACGGUCCAAGAAUUUAGUCCAAGAAAAGUUUCCGGAAUUCAAAAUGAAUGGUUCAGAUUCACUUGGUUAUGUAGGAUUCACACGCUCAAGUGAAUCUAAACCGUUCAUUUUGAAUUCUGGGACCUUUUCUUGGUCCAAAUUCUAGGACCGUAGGGUUUCUCAAAUCCUAACCACCAUCUUGCAUCUUGGUAACUUCUUGUUGCCAUUGUCACCACCAAGAACACUUGGUACCCACAUCCCACACCCACCCCACAAGCACGCGCACACAGAGAGCAGUGAAAUAUAAUUUUGUCCCUUGAAUGUUGGCUUCAAUAUUGUUCUUAAACUGUGACUGUUCUCUAUUUGUGCCAAAGAACGUCCUAAAUAGGUCAAUGUCAUCCAACUUGUUAAUACAUGGGAGAAAAUCUAAACAAAAGUGAUAAAAUCCCACUCCAUUAGAUCAUCGAACCUUAACUUUGCAAAAUUUGUGUUCCAUUUUGUCUGAAUUGAUUGAUAUGGAUGGGGUUUUUUUUUUUUUUUCAGAAAGACAAUUUCAGUUGUUUCCAUGUUCUGUUGUUUAGAGUGUAACGUUGCACAUAUGUUAUCAAGUGUGCAUUUGUGUGUGUAAUUUUGUAAAUCUCCUUUUGCUUUCUGCCUGCAGGAUGUUUUCUCUAGCAUGUGGUUUCGAGAGGCCAAAUCCCCUUCGCACCGGUUUUGGAGAAGCUUCUCUUUUCUGAAAAGAACUACGGCUCCUUUAGGCGGUUCUACAUAGAAAACUCGCAUAAGAUAUGCCAUUUCAAUCACACUACAAGAAACCAUGAUAAACAAAAGCCCUCCUGAACGGAUUUUUCGUCUUAAAGGUUCCGAUCACUCCCCCUUUUUCUCAAAACCUCAAGCCCUGCACAAGCUAUUGGUAGAGAUCUCAAAAAUCCCAUGAACUUAGGGCCUGCUCGGUAGAUUUCACCAUAAAUGUGACACGCGAUAAGCAUGGAGCAAUCAAGUAUCAUGCAUGUUCCAUUCAAGUAUUGUUUUGUACCAAAUGUAUCUUAGAAAUUUUGAUUUAUUACACGGGUGAAUGUUCAUUUCGCUUUCUGGUUUCGUGAGGUACUGAAACUAGAAUAUCUGAUGUAAAUGUAAUUUCCUAAACAAUGUUAUGGUUAAUUUCCUGUUUUCUAUAAUCUGAUGUCAGAUGAUUUGAGGAAGGGAAUCGAACCUAUAGCUUAAAUUUUACAGAGAAAUCGACUAGCGCUUGGAUUGAAAUGUAAAGUUUUUGAAAUUCCAAAAUGAUUGUAGAAGAAUGUGGAGUUGGAAUUUUCUUCAGCUUAUAUAAGUUGCACCCUAAUCACUGUUUUUGAAGCAGUUUUGACUGGUGUUUUUCUUUUCCAUGGCCAUUUUGAAUAGGUGGUCUAUGAGAUCUGUUUUCUUUCCUGAGACAGUGACUUAUGGGGUUGGUGACAGUUAAAAAAAUAAAGGAAUCAGGUAGAUCGGAUAUCGGUAAUCAUAGGAUUUAGCCGUGGGAUAAGGAGAUUGAGGCAAGGAGCUUAAUGGAUUGCUAUUGGAUCAGAAGAGGCCGACUGGGUCAGAGCCACGAGAAGUGGAGAUCAAACGUGAUGAGCAUUUGUGGAGAUUUCAGAGUUAGGUAUACCGGGAGUAUUAGUAAUUCAUAUUUGUCUGUAAUCUUAUAACUUUUGAUUCAUUAGUAAUAAAGUACGUUGGUUACGUUGGUAGACCGUGGUUUUUAUUCUAUAAGACGAUUUGUUUCAUAGGGUUUUCACGUAAAAUCGUUGCGUACAUAUCUCUUUAUUUUUAUAUAAGAUGGAUUCAUAUAAGUUUGGAUAAUUUUGAAAUUAGCACAAAAUUUUAUAAUUUUGUCUAUUCACCUCUUAUAGGGAAAUCCAUCACCGACUCUGUUUUAUUAAUUAUCGAUUUAUUUUCAAAAUCAUGUUUGUCGUCUAUUCUUUCCGACACAAAUGAGAUGAGAUCCUAUUACUAUCGAUAUUCAACUAAAUAUAAUUUUUUAUAUAAACGUACGACAAGCCUUAAUAAAUGAAUGAUUCGGGUCAGAUCAGCGAGGUCCUGAGUGGACCCUAAAAUCCCCCUCUCAAUACGGUGGUUUAUGUGCCACGAAAUUACAAGUUGCAUUACGGUCCAACCGUUUGGAUGAUACGCCUCUGUUAGUGAGUCGGUGACUUAUUAUUUCUGGUAGUGUUAUGGUGGUGACGGUGACUCUUGUUUGUAGCUAUAAAUGUGACUUGCCUACCACAUGUUAUGUUUCACCACCAUUAACAUUGCUCAAGGUUUCUCCAAGAAUCGAUAAAAUCGUAUUUAUUAUAACUGAAUUUAUAUUAAAACUAGUAAUUGUUCGUGUCCACGAGCAAUACACAAAAAAAAAUAUUUUAGACUUAUUCGUUAGAGUUUUAUAAUCUAAAAAACAAAUAAGAUAUAAACGUCAGACAAAAGAUAAAAUGAAUGCAAAUACGAAAAACUACAUUGCUACCAAAUAGAGAACAAAUUAGAAAUUAUAAUGAUUUUGAAAAAAUUUUGCUAGUUGGGGAGAAAUGAGGAGGAAAGAAAGAGGUUUUUUAGUUUUUUAUGGUGUGGGUCCCUCUAAAAAAUGAUCCAAUGAAUAAAAAAAUAUGCUCAGACUUAAAAAAAAAAUUGUCCAUUAGAUAAGAAACUUAUGUAAUAUUUUUUUGGGAAAAAAAAAAUAAUCUCAAGUGAAAUCUCAACCGUUAAAUUAACUGGAUUUUAACUGUAGAUAAUGAAAAAUAAUUUUGAGAUUCAAAGUGAGUUGUGAUUUAUAAUAUAGAUUAAUUAUUCAAAUAGUAUAAGUUGAAAAUAAUUAAAAUAGAACUUUCCAAAAAAAAUUCAAUUUUUUAAGUUGUGUCAUGCUAAUUCGAGAGCAUAGGGUAAAAGAAAAAAUAUAUAUAACAUUUUGGUAGUUAAGUUUCACAAAUAAUCAAAUAUUUUGUUGCAUCAAAAAAAAAUAUAAAUCAACGUUUUUAACUCAGAAUUUGAUUAAAAAAAAAAAAAGAAGAAGAAUUCUUUUAGGGUCGAUCAUCUGAUUAGAGUAAAUAUUAUAAUAGAAAGUCAAGUGAAAUAAAAAAUUUAUUUUUUUGUAUGCAUUAGGCUAAGAUGAAAGUUAUGUAAAAAACUGUAAGAAAAUUUUUGUAUUAUACUUAUCAUACAAUUUAAAUUAAGUUGAGAAAGAAAAAUUAUGGGCAAAAUGGAAAGUUAAGUAGUAACUGGUUACUUUCACUAGGGAAAAAAAAAUCAUGUAUUUUUGCAAGAAAAUGAAAGCGUUAACAUGCAAAUAUGGGUUCUACAAUUUAGAAUCUUAGCUUUAUUGCAUUUUCUAUCGCAAAAAAUAAAUAAAUAUAUAAAUACGUCGUUUCAGUUUUUAGAUUCAAUUUUGUUGCAAAGUUUUUCAUAAAUUAUUUUCUUGAAAAGAAAAAUAUUAUUUUCAUAUAUUGUCUAUUUGAAGCCAUAUUCUUAAAAUAAUUUUUUGAAAAUGUGUUUAUUUAUUUUUUUUAAAAAAAAUCAAAUGAGUUUUGAAAACUGAAAAUUAAAUAAAUUUAUUAAAAAAUAUUCUGUGAAACUAAUUUUGGAAACUAGAGAAAAAGAGACUUGUAUGGUUUAAUACUUUAAUGCUAAUGAGUGGUAGAUCACUAAGGCUACAGUCACCGCCUGUUACCGCAUUUGUACCGCGCGGCCUAAAACGACGCCGUUUUUGAUAAUAAAACACCAAAACGAAGUCGUUCAAAAAAAAAAACUUAAAGUACCAAAUGUUAAAAAAAACAAAAACGGACGUCGUUUUGGUGUUUUAUCAUCAAAACGACCGUCGUUUUGAUGCCGCGCAGGUAACAAUGGCGGUAACUAUCGGUGACUAUAGCAUUACUCGUGGUAGAUAGGAGGAGUCUUGUGUUAGUGAAACGUUGUGCGGAGAGGUGAGGCCAUGAAAGCGGUGAUGCCAACUCAGACAUUGACCGCGUCAAAAAUAUUAUCUUUAACAAAUUUGAAAUUUAAAAAAAAAUGUUUUUUUGCACUCUUUUUUUAUUCAGAGAAUAAAUUAAACUCGACAAUUUUAAUUAUAACAAAUCAAAUUCAAUAACAAUUUAAAUCAUAUGUUAGUUUUUAUCUAUCUAAAAUUAGCGGAACCAACUGGUUUUCAUGCAAGUAAACACGAAAACGAUAUCGUAUGGUGUUUUCUCCCUUUUUAAAGCUUUAAUCGAAUCAUUCUCAUUUUAGUAUAGUAUAGAAUCACAAAAACUUUAUAUAUAUAAAUUCUUCGACUAAAAUCUUCCUCUCCAUGCUCUUCUCUUGUGAGGGGAAUUGCAUUUGGGAGUUGGAAGCAACUGUGAUAAUCUCUCUUUAUUUAUGCAUACAAUUUCUUCAAAAAAAUUAUAAUCUUAAUGGCCGUUUUGUCAAUUGUGUUAUUAAUACAUACAACAUAAUAAUUUAUGCUACUAUAAGAUGUAUUAUAUUAGUUUUUUCAUAACUAACAAUGCAUUGCAUUAAUUUUAUUUGUGUUUGAUACUUUGUUUAAAUCUUUAACAUUUUUCAUUUUAUUUUAUACGAGAAAAAAUAGAAUUUUACUAUUUUCAAUCCGAUUCAUUCUAGUUCCAAUCCACGAACUCCUCCCACAGGUCCACUUAGGAUACGAUUGAAUACCGUUCGUAAAAGAAUAAUGAUCAGACGGACUCGAGUCCGAUGAUUAUAAUUCGUCCGAAAUAGAGGCUUAUUUAUAAGAGUAAUGAUAGGUACCACACCCAAAAGUGAAAUGUGUACAAAACACACUCAUUUGUCCUCUCACAAAACAUUGGUAACCCGCCCUUAAUUAGGGUUUUUAGAAAAACGUGAAACCGCUAAUUAGAUGGGUCCUCACUUAUUGUGAGAGGCAAAAUGGGUGUGUCCUUGUACCCACCCACUUUUGGGUGUUUACCAAUCAUUAUUCCAUUUAUAAUAGCAUAGCUAAGGCUGGUCGUUUCACCUUUUCGCGAAUUUCAGGAAGGUAAAUACACUAACACCCCUUUACCAUAUUGAAAUCCCACUAUCUCCCCCUCUAUUCUCUAAGAUCACACUGGCAGUGGAAUCCCAUUAUCAAACUCCCCAUUCUCAGAAAUUAAAUUUUCCAUCCUUACUUUAUAUCAGACAAAUAUAUAAUAUUUAAGACCAUCAGUUGGUUGUCAAUUGACCAAAUGCAAAAGUAUGAGCUCAACCCAAAUAAGGGUUGGAAUGCCAAAUCGCCCUUCCUUUUCCCUUCUCUUUCUACACCUUAUUACAAACCGCCAGGUCCGCCACAGAAAAAUGCCAUCAAAAUAUAUUGCCACACUCCAUUGCUAGAGCAUCUAUCCAUCCUCGAUGCACAAGUCAACCAAUACAUUGUUCAUACAUCUACUCCGCCACCUCCCUCACCCUACAUAAUCACAAUAGAAGAGAGAGAAAAUUUAGCCACCAUUGACACCGUGUUAUAAUUAGUGACGAAGAUCCAAAUAGAACCGCUACACAAGCCAAGCCACCUAAACCUACUAUCACCAAUGAACACCUUUACCGUCUCAUACCGUAACAC